AAUACAGAGGAAAAAUUUGGACUGAUUGCAACCUCUUCAUAAUGAAAACAUUCAUUAUGGAUGCUGAAAGAUUUUCAUUUCAGUUUUAAAAAAUGCUAAAGCAGGAAUC
rfam:Flavobacterium sp. KMS contig005, whole genome shotgun sequence.